rnacentral:rRNA from 1 species
UACGAAGGGGGCUAGCGUUGCUCGGAAUCACUGGGCGUAAAGGGUGCGUAGGCGGGUUUCUAAGUCAGAGGUGAAAGCCUGGAGCUCAACUCCAGAACUGCCUUUGAUACUGGAAGUCUUGAGUUCGGGAGAGGUGAGUGGAACUGCGAGUGUAGAGGUGAAAUUCGUAGGUAUUCGCAAGAACACCAGUGGCGAAGGCGGCUCACUGGCCCGAUACCGACGCUGAGGAGCGAAAGCGUGGGGAGCGAACAGG